AGGUGGAAAACAUGCCAUUUAAAUUGGGAUGAACUUGAAUAUUUGCAGGAAAAAGAAAAGGGUCACCCUCCAUCACGAGUUGAAUUAUUCCAGACUUGCUUUACUCAUGCCAAUGGAAGUCCUUCAAGUAAUAUUGUAGCAGAAAGAUUGGUGAUAGGUACUUGGAUUUUUGUGAAGCUAUACGACGGUUGAAGAUGGUCUGCCUAGUUAGUUUUUAUUUUAUAAAACUCUGUUCUAAAACUUAAUAUUUUGAGUGCAGUGUGUUGUUAGUUUUGGAUGUAAAGAACUUGUCGUUAGUUUGCAUUUGUAACUUUGACUCAAAUAUUUGUUGGAUGAAUUUAGAUUAUCUAUUUGCACUUUAAA